UACGUAGGGUCCGAGCGUUGUCCGGAAUUAUUGGGCGUAAAGGGCUCGUAGGCGGUUUGUCGCGUCGGGAGUGAAAACCUACAGCUCAACUGUGGGCUUGCUUCCGAUACGGGCAGACUAGAGGUAUGCAGGGGAGAAUGGAAUUCCUGGUGUAGCGGUGAAAUGCGCAGAUAUCAGGAGGAACACCGGUGGCGAAGGCGGUUCUCUGGGCAUUACCUGACGCUGAGGAGCGAAAGUGUGGGGAGCGAACAGG
rnacentral:ncRNA from 2 species